rnacentral:rRNA from 1 species
UACAGAGGUCCCAAGCGUUGUUCGGAUUCACUGGGCGUAAAGGGUGCGUAGGUGGUCGGGUAAGUCUGAUGUGAAAUCUCUGGGCUCAACCCAGAAAUGGCAUUGGAUACUAUUCGGCUAGAGGAGUGGAGGGGGGACUGGAAUACUUGGUGUAGCAGUGAAAUGCGUAGAUAUCAAGUGGAACACCAGUGGCGAAGGCGAGUCCCUGGACACUUCCUGACACUGAGGCACGAAAGCGAGGGGAGCAAACAGG